rnacentral:lncRNA from 1 species
GAUAACAACCAAGCUCUCGUACGAUCUCUAAUAUAACAUGUGUAGGAGAACAUGAUAGGAGAGGUGAAUGGUAUCCACGCAAAUAAAGAGUAUGCUUGAGCGCAAGUAGGAAAGAGAGGCAUCAGGAUUUCAUGUCUCUCUCAAAUGUUUGAAGGAAGGGUGAUGUGUGGGCCAGUGUAUAGGUGGUCGUCAUAAGCACCGACGGCUAUGGUCAAUGCAUUUGCUCAGUGUGUUGAGAUAAGGCACUACAAAUGGGCAGUGACCUCUUUUUGUCGUUUUUCGUCGCAAGGAUGCAGGUUGCAUCUGGUGGAUAUUAAUCAUGACGCGCGACUUCUAUCUUAAUCUCCGGGGAUCUCAAGUAGAGAAGACAUAUCCAUCUCAAGCUCGACAACCACUCUCUCUCAGGUGCAUGUUGCAACACGAUUGAGAAUAUGGUGCAACGCGAGGCAUAAGCCGGAAUGGCAUGGUCUUCCAUCCCUCAUUGUCGUAGACAGAAGUUGUCGCUUGGAGCAUUGCCGACUUGUCUUCAUCUAGCACCGUCUUUGCUCUUGAUACAUUUGUAAAUAUAUGCUUGAGACAUGGGUUCAAAGCUUCACACCUCUUUUGUAUUUUUGCACAUGUAACCCUCUCCUCACUCUCAACCCUCUCUAAAACACCUUGUAACGAUGCAUUGUUUUGUUAGAGAUAUGAUGAAAUUCGUCUAGGUGGGCAAACAAUCCUAUAGACUCUUCUAAAAAUCAAUAAGAUGGUGUAGUUGUUUAAAAAGAGUCAAAGACCCGUCAUUUUAUACCCUCGUGUGAGGGUUAAGAGUCAUACCGCUAAUUAAUCCUUAGUUGGGAAAUGUGGCAUGCAUGUUUAUUUGGUUAUCAUUUGAGAAGGACAAGACAAGCAUACCUCAAAUAUCCGAGGGAGACAGUGGGAAUGUAUCCCAUGCACAUCAUGGUUUUGUAUUUAAAUUGUUCUUGUUAUUAUGUACAAGAAAGCAAACAAAAAAAGAGGGUUAUAGAUUUGGACCAACUCAAACGUGUUAAGUUAGGAUGUGAUUUUCGAUUGGCCCAACGGAUAGGAAAGGAAAGCUCCUCUAUGAAAAUCUUCUAUUCACAAGAUGUGAGGUAUGUUGUUCUUGAAAAUCUAAGCAUAGCGAGUAAUUCAAAAGAAGUAAAUUGUGUUGGUGGUCCCAAGACUUAACAGUACGUUGGGAAUAUGCUCUCGUGGUCUUUAAAUCGAUCUGGAGCGUGCAUUCAAGCUCCUGAUCGAUCCAUGCCAAACCAUAUCAUGCUGAUGAGAUUGUAAUUGAUGCAGUCCCGUUAGAUUAUCCAUGUGCGCUCGCAUGCUCUUCAAAGAAACGUUUCCACUAUCGUUUGUCGAUGAAAUGAUAUAGCUUUGCAUCUUUGAGUCAAAACUCAUAAAUAUAACCCCAUCAUGAAGUUCUCCAUCUCCCGACCCCUCAUCGUCUUCUUCUCAAC